UACGGAGGAUCCAAGCGUUAUCCGGAUUUAUUGGGUUUAAAGGGAGCGUAGAUGGAUGUUUAAGUCAGUUGUGAAAGUUCGGGGCUCAACCCCGGAAUUGCAGUUGAUACUGGAUAUCUUGAGUACAGUUGAGGUAGGCGGAAUUCGUGGUGUAGCGGUGAAAUGCUUAGAUAUCACGAAGAACUCCGAUUGCGAAGGCAGCUUACUAAGCUGUAACUGACAUUGAGGCUCGAAAGUGUGGGUAUCAAACAGG
rnacentral:rRNA from 1 species